rnacentral:rRNA from 1 species
AUACGGAGGAUGCGAGCGUUAUCCGGAUUUAUUGGGUUUAAAGGGUGCGUAGGCUGUGCGUUAAGUCAGGGGUGAAAUGCCGUCGCUCAACGACGGAGCUGCCCUUGAUACUGGCGUGCUGGAGUACGGAUGCCGUUGGAGGAAUGAGUGGUGUAGCGGUGAAAUGCUUAGAUAUCACUCAGAACACCGAUUGCGAAGGCAGCAGGCGAAUCCGUCACUGACGCUGAGGCACGAAAGCGUGGGGAUAGAACAGGAUUAGAUACCCUGGUAUUCCACGCCGUAAACGAUGAUGACUAACCGUCGGCGAUAGACAGCCGGUGGCCAAGCGAAAGCGAUAAGUCAUCCACCUGGGGAGUACGUCGGCAACGAUGAAACUCAAAUGAAUUGACGGGG